CCUACGGGUGUCAGCAGUAGGGAAUAUUGCUCAAUGGGGGAAACCCUGAAGCAGCAAAGCCGCGUGGAGGAUGAAGGUUUUAGGAUUGUAAACUCCUUUUGUUAGAGAAGAUAAUGACGGUAUCUAACGAAUAAGCACCGGCUAACUCCGUCCCAGCAGCCGUGUUAAUACGGAGGCUGCAAGCGUUACUCGGAAGCUCUGGGCGUAAAGAGCGCGUAGGCGGGAUAGCAAGUCAGAUGUGAAAUCCUAUGGCUUAACCAUAGAACUGCAUGUUAAACUGUUAUUCUAGAGUAUGGGAGAGGUAGGUGGAAUUCUUGGUGUAGGGGUAAAAUACGUAGAGAUCAAGAGGAAUACUCAUUGCGAAGGCGACCUGCUAGAACAUAACUGACGCUGAUGCGCGAAAGCGUGGGGAGCAAACAGGAUUAGAUACCCCGGUAGUC
rnacentral:rRNA from 1 species